UUUCGCUAAAUUGAAUGAACAGAAAUAUAAUCUUUCAGCGAUAUUCUGUUCCACAUUUCAUACCAGUCGGUGGCGGUAAUGCACCAAUUUCGUUGUUUGCCAACCGCCACUAACCAUCAGAGAAGAAGAAGAAGAAGAAGAAGAAGAAGUCAGCUUCGCAGCAAAGCCAUUACUGAAUACUGAUAUCUGUUUUCACAGUUGGGUUAAGAGCACAAGAUGGAGAACUACAGGGAUGAAGACUCUUCUACAGUCAAUGUCAACAAUGCCAAACAUCCUCUUAAAUGAAUUUAUCGACCAUCAAACCGAAUUCUACCAAUCUUCGCAUGGAUACUGGAUAGGGUUACAUCAUAGUCAAGGCAGUUGGCGUUGGGUUAAUGGACAACCGCUCACCAUCAGG